UACGUAGGGGGCAAGCGUUGUCCGGGAUCAUUGGGCGUAAAGAGCGUGUAGGCGGCCCGAUAAGUCCGCCGUGAAAGUCCAGGGCUCAACCCUGGAAUGCCGGUGGAAACUGUCGGGCUGGAGUCCGGAAGAGGCGAGUGGAAUUCCUGGUGUAGCGGUGAAAUGCGCAGAUAUCGGGAAGAACACCCGUGGCGAAGGCGGUUCUCUGGGACGGUACUGACGCUGAGACGCGAAAGCGUGGGGAGCGAACAGG
rnacentral:rRNA from 1 species